AUCAGUCGGUUCUGUUACCACCAUUUGCAGAGAUGGAAGCCGAAGCUCAGAGUCAUUAGUUAACUGGCUCAAGGUCACACAGCUAGGACUCUGUGUUUCCCUCCAGGCAUGUCAACCACAGCAUCCACGCUCUUAUCCUCAACACCAAUGUCACUGCUCCUGUGUGGGACAGAGGUUCACAGCAUGGCAAUGAGCAAAACCUUUAUGCACAUCCGCAUUCACAUGACUGAGCUACAGAUGGUCAGCCAAAGAAGAUAACGAUGAAAGUUCAAGGUUGCAGAGAGUCAGAGGCACAUAUUAGCUUUAAAGAGAAAGUCAGUACUUUGUAGGGAGGGGCCUUCCUCUGGUCCCAGGGAAAUGGCUCCCAGGCUGUGGUGCAGGAUAGCCGGGCUCUGUGAAAAGGCUGCCUUUUGAAGCAUUUUUCUGAAAGAGGGAUGAUCAAAGCUGAUAUCCUCCACAGGACUUUCCUGGCAGUCCAGAGGUUGGGAAUUAGCCUUCCAGUGCAGAGCAUGGUGGCUCUCUCCCUGGUUGGGGAACUAAGAUCCCACAUGCCUUGGGGCCAAAACAUAAAAACAAAAGCAAUAUUGUAACAAAUUCAAUAAAGAUUUUUAAAAUUAUUCAAAUCAAAAAAAUCUUAAAAAAAAAAAAAAAAAAGCUGACGUCUUUCUUGAAUGAAGCACUCAGAGCCACUGAGAGCCCCACAAUAGCAUCCCUGAGAUGAGUGCUUGUCCACUUCUGUGCUCCCGCUUUAAGAGGAGGGUGGGCAAGGUCAGGUUACUGAGGGUGCAGGUAGAGGGAGGGGCGAGCAGUGGGGACAAUGACUAAUAGUGGGAGCCCUGUAAAAGGGCAGCUGGGAAGAUUGUCACAAGCACAAGCGGGAGACAGGGGGCAGACAUCCAGAGGAAGUGGUUUUCCUGAAGGCUUGCUAAGAGCACCAGAGGUUCUGGGAACACUGAGGACGUCGUGGGAAGUCAAAUUCAGCCUGAUUUCCAUUGAAGGCCAUGUUGUUGUGGCUUCAAGACAAGGCUUGAAUGCUCUCCUGAACUUCGGGACACAGGUGCCAGGCUCCCAAACAAUUGAGUCCACCUUCGAGGAUCAGAAGGGAAAGCAAGAGCAGAAGCACUUGGUCUGUUGCAAAGGGGAGGCUGCUGGCCUGGGGACAGAGAGGAGACACGACAAGGACACACCGUGCCGAGAACCAGAAUCAGAAAAUCAGCCAAAGACAGAACCAAAAGGCAAACGAGAACUUUUGCUUUCAGGAAAAAGAGGAGGAAGGUGCCAUCUCUCUGAUUUUCCAUUUCUUGUGGGAGCUGCUUUUAAAGAUUUGCAAAUUCUCUACAUCUGUGACCCUCAGACCUGUAGCUACCAAAGGAGGGGGGACAAAUUAGGAGAUCGGGAUUAA
rnacentral:lncRNA from 1 species